rnacentral:rRNA from 1 species
UACUGCUCAGUAACACGUGGACAACCUACCCUAUGGAGGGGGAUAACCCCGGGAAACUGGGGAUAAUACCCCAUAGACUAUGAAUGCUGGAAUGCUUUGUAGUUGAAAGGUCCGCCGCCAUAGGAUGGGUCUGCGGCCGAUUAGGUUGUUGUUGGGGUAACGGCCCAACAAGCCUGUAAUCGGUACGGGUUGUGGGAGCAAGAGCCCGGAGAUGGAUUCUGAGACACGAAUCCAGGCCCUACGGGGCGCAGCAGGCGCGAAAACUUUACAAUGCGGGAAACCGUGAUAAGGGAACUCCGAGUGCCCGUAAAAUCGGGCUGUCCAUCUGUUUAAAUAACAGGUGAAGAAAGGGCCGGGCAAGACCGGUGCCAGCCGCCGCGGUAAUACCGGCGGCUCGAGUGGUGGCCACUAUUACUGGGCUUAAAGCGUUCGUAGCUGGUCUGUUAAGUCUCUGGGGAAAUCUACUGGCUUAACCAAUAGGCGUCUCAGGGAUACUGGCAGACUAGGGACCGGGAGAGGUGAGAGGUACUCCAGGGGUAGGAGUGAAAUCCUGUAAUCCUUGGGGGACCACCUGUGGCGAAGGCGUCUCACCAGAACGGCUCCGACAGUGAGGGACGAAAGCUGGGGGAGCAAACCGGAUUAGAUACCCGGGUAGUCCCAGCUGUAAACGAUGCGCGUUAGGUGUAUCGGUGACUACGAGUUACCGAGGUGCCGAAGAGAAAUCGUGAAACGUGCCGCCUGGGAAGUACGGUCGCAAGGCUGAAACUUAAAGGAAUUGGCGGGGGAGCACAAUCA